UACGGAGGGUGCGAGCGUUGUCCGGAAUCACUGGGCGUAAAGGGCGCGUAGGCGGCUGGGGAAGUCGGUGGUGAAAGCUCGUGGCUCAACUACGAGUCGGCCAACGAUACUCCUCGGCUCGAGCACUGUAGAGGCAGGUGGAAUUCCGGGUGUAGCGGUGGAAUGCGUAGAGAUCCGGAAGAACACCGGUGGCGAAGGCGGCCUGCUGGGCAG
rnacentral:rRNA from 1 species